rnacentral:rRNA from 1 species
AUUGAACGCUGGCGGCAUGCCUUACACAUGCAAGUCGAACGGCAGCACGGGAGCAAUCCUGGUGGCGAGUGGCGAACGGGUGAGUAAUGUAUCGGAACGUACCUUUCAGUGGGGGAUAACGUAGCGAAAGUUACGCUAAUACCGCAUAUUCUGUGAGCAGGAAAGCAGGGGAUCGCAAGACCUUGCGCUGAUUGAGCGGCCGAUAUCAGAUUAGCUAGUUGGUGAGGUAAAGGCUCACCAAGGCGACGAUCCUGUAGCGGGUCUGAGAGGAUGAUCCGCCACACUGGAACUGAGACACGGUCCAGACUCCUACGGGAGGCAGCAGUGGGGAAUUUUGGACAAUGGGCGCAAGCCUGAUCCAGCCAUGCCGCGUGAGUGAAGAAGGCCUCGGUUGUAAGG